rnacentral:rRNA from 1 species
GGUUAAGUGACUAAGCGUACAUGGUGGAUGCCUUGGCAGUCAGAGGCGAUGAAGGACGUACUAACCUGCGAUAAGCUGUGAGAAGUCGGUAAGAGACGCUAUUACUCACAGAUUUCCGAAUGGGGAAACCCACCCGAGAUAACUCGGGUAUCUGUUACUGAAUACAUAGGUAACAGAGGCGAACCGGGAGAACUGAAACAUCUAAGUACCCCGAGGAAAAGAAAUCAACCGAGAUUCCCUCAGUAGCGGCGAGCGAACGGGGAUUAGCCCUUAAGCAUCUUGGAAGUUAGUGGAACGGUCCUGGAAAGGCCGGCGAUACAGGGUGAUAGCCCCGUACACGAAAACAACCUUGAUGUGAAAUCGAGUAGGGCGGGACACGUGACAUCCUGUCUGAAUAUGGGGGGACCAUCCUCCAAGGCUAAAUACUCCUGACUGACCGAUAGUGAACCAGUACCGUGAGGGAAAGGCGAAAAGAACCCCUGUGAGGGGAGUGAAAUAGAACCUGAAACCGUGUACGUACAAGCAGUGGGAGCCCUUCGGGGUGACUGCGUACCUUUUGUAUAAUGGGUCAGCGACUUACAUUUUGUAGCGAGGUUAACCGUAUAGGGGAGCCGUAGGGAAACCGAGUCUUAACUGGGCGUCUAGUUGCAAGGUGUAGACCCGAAACCGGGUGAUCUAGCCAUGGGCAGGUUGAAGGUUGAGUAACAUCAACUGGAGGACCGAACCCACUAACGUUGCAAAGUUAGGGGAUGACCUGUGGCUGGGGGUGAAAGGCCAAUCAAACUCGGAGAUAGCUGGUUCUCCCCGAAAGCUAUUUAGGUAGCGCCUCGGACGAAUACUACUGGGGGUAGAGCACUGUUUGGGCUAGGGGGUCAUCCCGACUUACCAACCCCAUGCAAACUCCGAAUACCAGUAAGUAAUAUCCGGGAGACACACGGCGGGUGCUAACGUCCGUCGUGAAGAGGGAAACAACCCAGACCGCCGGCUAAGGUCCCAAAGUUCUGGUUAAGUGGGAAACGAUGUGGGAAGGCUCAGACAGCUAGGAUGUUGGCUUAGAAGCAGCCAUCAUUUAAAGAAAGCGUAAUAGCUCACUAGUCGAGUCGGCCUGCGCGGAAGAUGUAACGGGGCUCAAACCAGGCACCGAAGCCGCGGAUUCACACUUAUGUGUGAGUGGUAGGGGAGCGUUCUGUAAGUCUGCGAAGGUGUAUCGAGAGGUAUGCUGGAGAUAUCAGAAGUGCGAAUGCUGACGUAAGUAACGAUAAAGGGGGUGAAAAGCCUCCUCGCCGGAAGACCAAGGGUUCCUGUCCAACGUUAAUCGGGGCAGGGUGAGUCGACCCCUAAGGCGAGGCCGAAAGGCGUAGUCGAUGGGAAGCAGGUUAAUAUUCCUGCACGACUUGUAAUUGCGAUGGGGGGACGGAGAAGGCUAGGUGGGCCAGGCGACGGUUGUCCUGGUGAAAGUGCGUAGGUGGUGUUUCUAGGCAAAUCCGGAGACACAACACUGAGACACGAGACGAACACACUACGGUGUGGAAGCCAUUGAUGCCCUGCUUCCAGGAAAAGCCUCUAAGCUUCAGAUUACAAGUCAUCGUACCCCAAACCGACACAGGUGGUCGGGUAGAGAAUACCAAGGCGCUUGAGAGAACUCGGGUGAAGGAACUAGGCAAAAUAGAACCGUAACUUCGGGAGAAGGUUCGCUCUUGACAGUGAAGUCCCUUGCGGAUGGAGCAGUUGGGAGUCGCAGUGACCAGAUGGCUGGGACUGUUUAUCAAAAACACAGCACUCUGCAAACACGAAAGUGGACGUAUAGGGUGUGACACCUGCCCGGUGCCGGAAGGUUAAUUGAUGGGGUUAGCGCAAGCGAAGCUCUUGAUCGAAGCCCCGGUAAACGGCGGCCGUAACUAUAACGGUCCUAAGGUAGCGAAAUUCCUUGUCGGGUAAGUUCCGACCUGCACGAAUGGUGUAACCAUGGCCAUGCUGUCUCCACCCGAGACUCAGUGAAAUCGAAUUCGCCGUGAAGAUGCGGUGUACCCGCGGCUAGACGGAAAGACCCCGUGAACCUUUACUACAGCUUGGCACUGAACAUUGAACCUACAUGUGUAGGAUAGGUGGGAGGCUUUGAAGGCGUGACGCCAGUUGCGCUGGAGCCGUCCUUGAAAUACCACCCUUGUAUGUUUGAUGUUCUAACGCAGGGCCCUGAAUCGGGCUCGCGGACAGUGCCUGGUGGGUAGUUUGACUGGGGCGGUCUCCUCCCAAAGAGUAACGGAGGAGCACGAAGGUUGGCUAAUCCUGGUCGGACAUCAGGAGGUUAGUGCAAUGGCAUAAGCCAGCUUAACUGCGAGACGGACAGGUCGAGCAGGUACGAAAGUAGGUCAUAGUGAUCCGGUGGUUCUGAAUGGAAGGGCCAUCGCUCAACGGAUAAAAGGUACUCCGGGGAUAACAGGCUGAUACCGCCCAAGAGUUCAUAUCGACGGCGGUGUUUGGCACCUCGAUGUCGGCUCAUCACAUCCUGGGGCUGAAGUCGGUCCCAAGGGUAUGGCUGUUCGCCAUUUAAAGUGGUACGCGAGCUGGGUUCAGAACGUCGUGAGACAGUUCGGUCCCUAUCUGCCGUGGGCGUUGGAUGAUUGAAGGGAGUUGCUCCUAGUACGAGAGGACCGGAGUGAACGAACCUCUGGUGUUCGGGUUGUCACGCCAGUGGCACUGCCCGGUAGCUAAGUUCGGAAUCGAUAACCGCUGAAAGCAUCUAAGCGGGAAGCGAGCCCUGAGAUGAGUCAUCCCUGACCCCUUGAGGGUCCUAAAGGGCCGUUGGAGACCACAACGUUGAUAGG